rnacentral:rRNA from 1 species
GGAAGUGGAUUAGCGGCGGACGGGUGAGUAACACGUGGGUAACCUGCCUCAAAGUGGGGAAUAGCCUUCCGAAAGGAAGAUUAAUACCGCAUAACGUAAGAGAAUCGCAUGAUUUUCUUACCAAAGAUUUAUCGCUUUGAGAUGGACCCGCGGCGCAUUAGCUAGUUGGUGAGGUAAAUGCUCACCAAGGCAACGAUGCGUAGCCGACCUGAGAGGGUGAUCGGCCACAUUGGAACUGAGACACGGUCCAGACUCCUACGGGAGGCAGCAGUGGGGAAUAUUGCGCAAUGGGGGAAACCCUGACGCAGCAACGCCGCGUGAGUGAUGAAGGUCUUCGGAUUGUAAAGCUCUGUUUUCUAGGACGAUAAUGACGGUACUAGAAGAGGAAGCCACGGCUAACUACGUGCCAGCAGCCGCGGUAAUACGUAGGUGGCGAGCGUUGUCCGGAUUUACUGGGCGUAAAGGGUGCGUAGGCGGAUUCUUAAGUGGGAUGUGAAAUACCCGGGCUUAACUUGGGUGCUGCAUUCCAAACUGGGAAUCUAGAGUGCAGGAGAGGAAAGUGGAAUUCCUAGUGUAGCGGUGAAAUGCGUAGAGAUUAGGAAGAACACCAGUGGCGAAGGCGACUUUCUGGACUGUAACUGACGCUGAGGCACGAAAGCGUGGGUAGCAAACAGGAUUAGAUACCCUGGUAGUCCACGCCGUAAACGAUGGAUACUAGGUGUAGGAGGUAUCGACCCCUUCUGUGCCGCAGUUAACGCAAUAAGUAUCCCGCCUGGGGAGUACGGUCGCAAGAUUAAAACUCAAAGGAAUUGACGGGGGCCCGCACAAGCAGCGGAGCAUGUGGUUUAAUUCGAAGCAACGCGAA